rnacentral:rRNA from 1 species
GACGAACGCUGGCGGCGUGCCUAAUACAUGCAAGUAGAACGCUGAGGAGAGGAGCUUGCUCUUCUUGGAUGAGUUGCGAACGGGUGAGUAACGCGUAGGUAACCUGCCUUGUAGCGGGGGAUAACUAUUGGAAACGAUAGCUAAUACCGCAUAACAAUGGAUGACACAUGUCAUUUAUUUGAAAGGGGCAAUUGCUCCACUACAAGAUGGACCUGCGUUGUAUUAGCUAGUAGGUGAGGUAAUGGCUCACCUAGGCGACAAUACAUAGCCGACCUGAGAGGGUGAUCGGCCACACUGGGACUGAGACACGGCCCAGACUCCUACGGGAGGCAGCAGUAGGGAAUCUUCGGCAAUGGGGGCAACCCUGACCGAGCAACGCCGCGUGAGUGAAGAAGGUUUUCGGAUCGUAAAGCUCUGUUGUAAGUCAAGAACGGGUGUGAGAGUGGAAAGUUCACACUGUGACGGUAGCUUACCAGAAAGGGACGGCUAACUACGU